GAAUUUUGGACAAUGGGCGAAAGCCUGAUCCAGCCAAGCCGCGUGCAGGAUGAAGGCCUUCGGGUUGUACACUGCUUUUGUCCGGAACGAAAAGCUUUGGGUUAAUACACUUGAGUCAGGACGGUACCGUAAGAAUAAGCACCCGCUCACUACGUGCCAGCAGCCGCGGUAAUACGUAGGGUGCCAGCGUUAAUCGGAAUUACUGGGCGUAGAGCGUGCGCAGGCGGUUUUGUAAGACAGAGGUGAAAUCCCCGGGCUCAACCUGGGAACUGCCUUGGUGACUGCAAGGCUAGAGUACGGCAGAGGGGGGUGGAAUUCCGCGUGUAGCAGUGAAAUGCGUAGAUAUGCGGAGGAACACCGAUGGCGAAGGCAACCCCCUGGGCCUGUACUGACGCUCAUGCACGAAAGCGUGGGGAGCAAACA
rnacentral:rRNA from 1 species